AAGGAUUUAGGUUAACAACAAACCAAAAGCCUUCAAAGCUUUAAAUAAAAGUGAAAAUCUUUUAAUCUUUA
rnacentral:tRNA from 1 species